rnacentral:lncRNA from 1 species
ACAAAUAACUCACAAAAUUUCCUAGUGCAAAGUUGGGGGAAAACAUUUCGUUCGUUUGUUUGUUAUUUGAACAAGUUUGACAUCGAAGCACAGGUUCCGAGGAAACUAAAAGGAUGAGUCUCAAUCCAGAAUAAAGGAAAGAAGAAAAAGAAAAGAAGUAGUGAAUUCAAAUGCUGAAGCAAACAUAGAUGUGAGCUGAUCAAAACUUUAUUGAAACCACAAGCUCCGACGGUCCCGCUUCGAUUCAAUGCUGAAGGAAGAUCCAACACCUACAGCUCGCGAGCAUCAAGAUUUAGAUCGGAGUCCACAGCAAAAGCAGCUAAGACUCAAGAUCAAGCUCC